UUUAAAGUUCAAAGAGACACUGGAUAACAAUAAGGAACAGGUCAGUGUGGCCCUUAUCAAGCCACUCAACGGGAAGAAGAAUGGCUGAAAAAGAAUAUACACUAUCAAACCUUGUGGUUCCUGUUCUUCUCCUGAUUGGCUGGAUUGUGGGCUGCGUUGUAGUGGUUUAUGUUGUCUUCUCUUAAAACGGCAAGAAGACUUCAGAUUUAUGUCAUUUGGAAGAGUUAAGAAAAAACAUGAACAUGACUGAUUAUCGACUAUGUUGUGUUUAAUAAUAAAAUGACUGACAUCACUGUAUGAGCUUUGAUUGUAAACUGAUGCUUUCAUGUGCUUGAGACACUCUUCAAGAACUUAUUAAAAUUAUGGGUAAAAAAAAGAAGUAUUGAAAAAUAUGAUUGAACCCACAGAGUUGGAAAAAUGUUCCUAUUAUGAUUAAAAUACAUAUGCAGUAGUAAAAGUAUGAUAAAUAUAAUAAUAUUCAAAACUGUUUUGUUCUCUCCUCCCAGAAAACUACAAAAAAUGGACUAGAAAGAGUAGAAAAUUCACUGAAAACAAAAUGUAAAUGUAAACUUGGCUCUUACUUUCUUGCUUGUAAUAACAUAAAUGUAAUUUCAGUUAUACCAGGGAACUGUUGCUCUGUUAUCACAUGGAAGAAAUAAAGAUAUUCGACAACAUAUGUGUUAAUCAGGCUGAGGAGACAUAAAUAUUAUCAUGUGCUAUCUUUGUAAA